GACGAACGCUGGCGGCGUGCCUAAUACAUGCAAGUAGAACGCACAGUUUAUACCGUAGCUUGCUACACCAUAGACUGUGAGUUGCGAACGGGUGAGUAACGCGUAGGUAACCUGCCUGGUAGCGGGGGAUAACUAUUGGAAACGAUAGCUAAUACCGCAUAAUAUUGAUUAUUGCAUGAUAAUUGAUUGAAAGAUGCUAUUGCAUCACUACCAGAUGGACCUGCGUUGUAUUAGCUAGUAGGUGAGGUAACGGCUCACCUAGGCGACGAUACAUAGCCGACCUGAGAGGGUGAUCGGCCACACUGGGACUGAGACACGGCCCAGACUCCUACGGGAGGCAGCAGUAGGGAAUCUUCGGCAAUGGACGAAAGUCUGACCGAGCAACGCCGCGUGAGUGAAGAAGGUUUUCGGAUCGUAAAGCUCUGUUGUAAGAGAAGAACGGGUGUGAGAGUGGAAAGUUCACACUGUGACGGUAUCUUACCAGAAAGGAACGGCUAACUACGU
rnacentral:rRNA from 1 species